rnacentral:sRNA from 1 species
UUUGAAAGAGAGUAAAAC